rnacentral:lncRNA from 1 species
CGCUCCAGCAGCUCCUGAUUUUGGAGCAAAGAUGCUAUACAGAUGACUAGGGGCAUGGUGCCUGCCAACGGUGACAAAUGAGGACUUGGCACAGAGCAGUGAGCAAGCGGUGGCUGUGAGGCUUCUGUUCCUAAGGUUUAUAUCCUGAAGUUGAGUCCAGAGUUCCCGGUGUUUACAGCGUUCCUAAACCAUGUGUUUACAGAAAUCCUCUGAUUGAUUUGCUGUGAAGUUCUUCAUUUGGUGACUAAUGCAGAUGUACCGGAUGAGCCUGGCAAAAUCUCUGACCCUUUCUGGUCUUCUCUAUUGUUUCUCACAUGAACAGUCCCACGGAUGCCACUAGAGGAUGAAGGCUCUUAUUCUGGAUAUCAGUCCACUGUUGGAGGUACAGUUGGCAAGGACUUUCUUCCAUCCUGUGAGGCUGCCUCUUCACUUCACAGCUUCUUUCGCUCUAUAAAAGUUUUAAAA